GACGAACGCUGGCGGCGUGCCUAAUACAUGCAAGUAGAACGCUGAAGAGAGGAGCUUGCUCUUCUUGGAUGAGUUGCGAACGGGUGAGUAACGCGUAGGUAACCUGCCUUGUAGCGGGGGAUAACUAUUGGAAACGAUAGCUAAUACCGCAUAACAAUGGAUGACUCAUGUCAUUUAUUUGAAAGGGGCAAAUGCUCCACUACAAGAUGGACCUGCGUUGUAUUAGCUAGUAGGUGAGGUAACGGCUCACCUAGGCGACGAUACAUAGCCGACCUGAGAGGGGGAUCGGCCACCCUGGGACUGAGCCACGGCCCAGACUCCUACGGGAGGCAGCAGUAGGGAAUCUUCGGCAAUGGGGGCAACCCUGACCGAGCAACGCCGCGUGAGUGAAGAAGGUUUUCGGAUCGUAAAGCUCUGUUGUAAGUCAAGAACGAGUGCGAGAGUGGAAAGUUCACACUGUGACGGUAGCUUACCAGAAAGGGACGGCUAACUACGUGCCAGCCGCCGCCGUAA
rnacentral:rRNA from 1 species